rnacentral:rRNA from 1 species
UACAGAGGUCUCAAGCGUUGUUCGGAUUCAUUGGGCGUAAAGGGUGCGUAGGCGGCGCGGUAAGUCGGGUGUGAAAUCUCGGAGCUUAACUCCGAAACUGCAUUCGAUACUGCCGUGCUUGAGGACUGGAGAGGAGACUGGAAUUCCUGGUGUAGCGGUGAAAUGCGCAGAUAUCAGGAGGAACACCGGUGGCGAAGGCGGGUCUCUGGGCAACAACUGACGCUGAGGAGCGAAAGCGUGGGGAGCGAACAGG